rnacentral:tRNA from 1 species
UCCUUCGUGGUGUAACGGUUAGCACACUUGGGUUGUAUUCGAGAGGCCCAGGUUCGAGUCCCGGCCAGGGUA